CAGUCGCCGCGGGAAUACGAAGGGUGCAAGCGUUACUCGGAAUUACUGGGCGUAAAGCGUGCGUAGGUGGUGGUUUAAGUCCGUUGUGAAAGCCCUGGGCUCAACCUGGGAAUUGCAGUGGAUACUGGAUCACUAGAGUGUGGUAGAGGAUAGUGGAAUUUCCGGUGUAGCAGUGAAAUGCGUAGAGAUCGGAAGGAACAUCUGUGGCGAAGGCGACUAUCUGGGCCAACACUGACACUGAGAGACGAAAGCUAGGGGAGCAAAUGGGAUUAGAUACCCCCGUAGUCCCUGUCUCUUAUAC
rnacentral:rRNA from 1 species